rnacentral:rRNA from 1 species
UGGGAAUUUUGGACAAUGGGCGCAAGCCUGAUCCAGCCAUGCCGCGUGCGGGAAGAAGGCCUUCGGGUUGUAAACCGCUUUUGUCAGGGAAGAAAUCUUCUGAGUUAAUACCUCGGGAGGAUGACGGUACCUGAAGAAUAAGCACCGGCUAACUACGUGCCAGCAGCCGCGGUAAUACGUAGGGUGCAAGCGUUAAUCGGAAUUACUGGGCGUAAAGCGUGCGCAGGCGGUUUUGUAAGACAGAGGUGAAAUCCCCGGGCUCAACCUGGGAACUGCCUUUGUGACUGCAAGGCUUGAGUGCGGCAGAGGGGGGAUGGAAUUCCGCGUGUAGCAGUGAAAUGCGUAGAUAUGCGGAGGAACACCGAUGGCGAAGGCAAUCCCCUGGGCCUGCACUGA